AGCCACCACACCCAUGGAAAAAGUACCUGACUGAUCACCCUUGGAAAAAGAAGUACCUUCCACCCCUGUCUCCUCACCCAUGGAAGAAGUACUUUACACCAAAGCCGGUUUAUACAUAUCCACCAAAGCCGGUUUAUUCAUAUCCACCAAAGCCGGUUUAUACACCUAAACCGGUUUAUACACAUCCACCAAAACCGGUUUAUACACCAAAGCCCCCAAGUCCUGUUUAUACACAUCCACCAAAGCCGGUUUAUACACCUAAGCCGGUUUAUUCCCAUCCCCCCACUCCCGUCUAUACUUAUCCACCAAAGCCGGUUUAUAAGCAUCCAAUUUAUAAGAAGCCCUGCCCACCCAUUGUACCUUUGCCUAAAC
rnacentral:lncRNA from 1 species